rnacentral:rRNA from 1 species
UACGAAGGGGGCUAGCGUUGCUCGGAAUCACUGGGCGUAAAGCGCACGUAGGCGGAUUGCUAAGUCAGGGGUGAAAUCCUGGAGCUCAACUCCAGAACUGCCCUUGAUACUGGCGGUCUCGAGUCCGGGAGAGGUGAGUGGAACUGCGAGUGUAGAGGUGAAAUUCGUAGAUAUUCGGAGGAACACCAGUGGCGAAGGCGGCUCACUGGUCCGGUACUGACGCUGAGGUGCGAAAGCGUGGGGAGCAAACAGGG